CCAGUAGCGUAUAUUAAAGUUGUUGCAGUUAAAAAGCUCGUAGUUGAAUUUCAGGCCUGGCUGGAUGGUCCGCCCUUCGGGUGAGUACUGUCUGUGGUCGGGUCCUACCUUCUGGCGAAGCGUCAUGGCCUUAACCGGCCGUGGCGGGGAACCAGGCCUUUUACUGUGAAAAAAUUAGAGUGUUCAAAGCAGGCAAAUCGCUUGGAUACAUUAGCAUGGAAUAAUGGAAUAGGACAAUGGUUCUAUUUGUUGGUUUCUAGGACCGUUGUAAUGAUUAAUAGGGAUAGUUGGGGGCAUUAGUAUUCAAUUGUCAGAGGUGAAAUUCUUGGAUUUAUUGAAGACUAACUACUGCGAAAGCAUUUGCCAAGGAUGUUUUCAUUAAUCAAGAACGAAAGUUAGGGGAUCGAAGACGAUCAGAGACCGUCGUAGUCUUAACCAUAAACUAUGCCGACUAGGGAUCGGAUGAUGUUAUUUUUAAUGACUCAUUCGGCGCCUUACG
rnacentral:rRNA from 1 species